GGGUUGCUAACUCAACGGUAGAGUGCUCAGCUUUAAGCCAAUGAGUUCCGGGUUCGAGUCCCGGUCAAUCCC
rnacentral:tRNA from 2 species